AGCUGGGGCAGAAGCAGAAUUUUAGAGAAGGUGGUUAAAGGAACUGAUCUGACUGCAUGGAUUCAUCAACUCAGGGACACCUGUGUAUAGAAAAUGCACUGCAUGCAGAAUCCUUUGUCGUGGGAAAAAAACCUCAGGAAGCACAAUACUGCAACCUCUGCAAUCACUGUGACCUGCUGCAAUUGAACUCUAAUUUUCUGUAUAAUAGAGAUGAAUGCCCUUAGAGAUGCAAAUAUAGGAAAGAAAACACUUUUCAACUAUAAUGGUGUUAUACAACUCUGAAUUUGGAGCCUGGAAAAGAUUUCACAGUCUCCACAACAAAUCUCUGAAUCUAGAAGUGAAGAGGGAAUGAUUUCUUUGUGGUAAGUUUCCAAUUCCAGAUUGUAGUUAUAAGCAAUGACACAACAACAACAACAACAACAAAAGAACUAUAAAAGACUUCUAUAGUAAAAGUCAUGAAAAAUAGUCCAAAAAGGCUUAAUGUUUAAUACUGAAACUCUGGAAUGAGACAGCUGUCUGAAGAUCAGAGUGUGUUACUCUUACGCUGCCUUGAUGUCAUAUAUUGCUGUCAAAACAUGAACUGCUAGACCUUACUGAUGGUGAUUUUAAAAUGAAGACAAUAAAUGAGGGAGAAAGCCAAAACAGGUAGUAUGACUCUGAGCCAUGCAAGAAGAUUCAAGACUAAGGGCAAGAGAGAUGAAAAUCUAAGAGCUGUUAUGGACCAAGGCAAAGAAAAGACAGGUUAGGGCAAAUCAUAGUGAAAUUAGACAAAUAACGUUUGUAGCAUCAUAGUUCAGACAGGCUUAAAAGUAAGUGGUUACUUAUACUCCUGAGGUAUAAUUUUUCCACUUGCUGUGCUCGUCUAGCUUUCUGCAAAUGCUGAGUGCGGGGUAUGUUGUAG